AGGACCUUCAUUUCAAUCUUCUGUUCUUCACACACAGAAUUUUCCGACUUCAAAAGGAACUAACAUUGCUCAUUGCUCUAAUCAUCCAACAGAGUCCAAUGGAAGUAUUCCCACAACACACAGGCAUCAUACAGCAUUGGUAUCAUGACUUCUAGUAGCUUCGUGUGCAAAUUCAUCUUGCCAGUGUGCAAAGACGGAGAGAAAAGUUCAGUGAAGACAGUGUGCAGACGUGGAGGAAAGAAGAUAAAUGUUGCGGGAUGGCUGGCCAUCCCCGAAGAUGGAUAUUGCCAGGGAAAAGACGAUGCUGUUCAACGUUGUUGGAAAAGGGGAAACUGCUAAAUAAAGAGAAGAAAAACCCAGAUCUGCGCUGUUUUAUCUUUACCUGACCUACAGCCCUUUCCAUGGUGUAUGUGAAGAUCUUGCUUUGGGUGUGCAGAUCUUGUGUCCUGUUAUAGCAAAAUGUCAUUGCUAUGUCCGCAAACCUAGAUCUGUUCUAGUUCAGACUUGAAUCUAUUUCUCACCACAAAGAAAUACUCCUG
rnacentral:lncRNA from 11 species